GUACACCGAAAUCCAUUCGGGGGGGCGGAGUCGGCAGUCAGCACUAGUUUUAGAACUAGUUUGACCAGCUGCGACAUGACUGAUGCGGACGCAAAAAAAAAAACAUAGAGCAAACUAAAUAACACAGUUUUGUAUAUACUUUGUGUAUUUUGAACUGUAUUUGUUCCCGCCCAUGUUAAAGCGGAGCGAACCGACCAACGGUACCGACCAAAACUAAAACGAGUGCAACGUUUAGUUUACUUCCGGCCUUUAAACCAAUCAACGUGGUUUAUUUUCAGAUGCGUCUGUAUCUGAAAACGGAUUGGACGGUUUAAUCUUCUGCAACCCUUUUUGAAUUGUGUCUGAUUUCUCAAGCGACUGUUUAUCUCGUAGCCGGUAGCUUCGUGUAGAAAGACGCAGGGGCUGUAUGUCUUUUCAGGGGAACGGAUACAUACGAUACUGAUAAAAGACCGACGUCUUCAAAGGUUGAAAUUAUUUUGAGAUAAAGGUUCCGCCAACAUGACAAUUAACUUGGGUGUUAAGGCUCUUCUGAGCUGGGUCAAAUCCAUAAAACUGUCCGAAAUAGUAUUAACACUCGACGAUUUAAAAGAUGGGGCAGUCCUACUGGAAGUUGUUUGUAUGCUGAAAAAGGAACCCAAUUCCGGUAUCGGCAAAUCCAUUGAGGAAAGAUUCAAGGUCAUUGCAGACUUUGUGGAGAGGGAUUGCAGAUUUAGUUCAACCAAAGGAACUUCAUUGUCUUGGGACAACAUAAGAGCUGGUAUCAACCUAACCAUAGAAAUUGCAAAGGUGCUUUUGUUGCUCCUAUACCAUGACAUAAUGAAUGACCGCUUAACACUGAACAUGUUGGAAUGCGAUGUGGAGCGAGAGAUAGCAAACCUAACUGCUUCCUUUGUGAUGGAGAACGACGGCUGCGUUUAUUUCAGCGAAAGACUUGAUGCCCAUUUGGCAAGGAAACAUUUGCCAGUCGCCCGUGAAAUAUUUGAGAGAUCAGCAACCACCUCGACCUCCAAUGUGUCGUCCAUCUCCUCAUUUUCAGAUGACGAGUCCCCCAUCUUCCACCGCACACAGAAAGUCACAUUUGUAAACAUGCAAACUGUAGCUUCCUCCUCAGUCAGCAAGUCUCCUCUGCAGGAAAUCAUGAACACUCCUAAAUUUCAACUGAGGAAGAUGCAACGACAGAUGAUCACGGAGAGAGACCACAGAGAUGGGUUGGAGAGGGAGCUGUCCAGCAAGCUUGCACUCAUUGCACAGAGAGAGUCCCAUAUUAACCAGUUGCAGUACCGCCUUGAUAAAAUGAAAGAAGAGCAAGGUGAUCAGGAGAAUAGUAUCAGGGAACAGCUCAAUGAGCUUCAGACCAAGAACGACAUGUUACACAUUCGUCUAAAUGAGGUGGUGAAGCAAAAUAAAGACUUCAAGAGUAACUCUUCACUUAUGGAGCGCAAAGUGGACGAGCUGUCAGACGAAAAUGGUGUACUCUCAUCCCAGGUGAGAACUAUGUGUUCACAGCGUGCCAUAUUUGAGGCAGAAGUUGGCAGGCUGACAGAAACCCAAGCAUUCACUCAGGAUGAGUGGAGAAGCAAAACAGGCCACCUACAGAAUGAACUGAACAAAGCUACCACUGAAAAGGAGAUACUGACUGAACAAAUUCAGAUCCUGCAAGGAAAGAUUUCCUGUUUGGAGGAUGAAAUGAAGAGGGCUACUGAGCAAGAAGUAGGAGAGAACAUGGGGCCUGUAAUGGAGAGAGAAAUGUUGGAUACAGAAAUCAAUGGUUUGAAGAAUGAGCUGGAGAGCACAUUUUGCUCCCUGAAAAAGGCUGAGGUGGAGAUUGAGUCCAAAACACAGCAGCUGGCAGAGUAUCAACAAGAGAUUAAUCAUCAAAAAGAGCUCCUGAAGCAACAAGAAGCCCAAACGGAGGCAAUUAUUCAAGCCAAGGAUGACAUUUUAGACAAAUUGGAAAAGGAGAUCACUGAGCAGAGAGCUGUCAUUCAACAAGAAAUCCAGGAUCUCAAGAUUCAACUUGAGAAAGUUGAGCAGCAGAAAACUGAGCAGAUGACCAGACUACAACAGCAAAUUGCUGCUUGUGAACAGGAAAUAGAAAAACUAAAGGAAAUUAAGAAAGAGAAGGAAGGCCUUUUGCUUCAGACUGAAGAAAAUGUGAAGUAUCUUGAGACAAAGUUAUCUGCUGCCAGUUCUCUCUUGGCUGAUAAAGACCAACAAAUUGAUAGUCUCAGAAAAGAAGUUUCCAUUCUUACAGAUAAAACCCAAAACAACCAAAAUGAAAUUCAAAAUAAAGAGGAAAUGCUUGCCACAUUACUCCUGGAGAAGUCUAAUGAGCAAGAUGUUUUUUGUAAUAAAAUCCAGAGCCUAAGAGUCCAGGUGGAAGACCUUAGCUCGUCUCUCAAACAGGCUGAGCAGGAAAUUCAACUUAAGCAAGACCUACUGGCUAAAACCCAACAAGAGAAUGUCCAACAAAGAGAGGUACUCCAACAACAGAUUGUGACCUGCGAAGUGGCGGUUCAGAAGUUAAACAAAAAAAUACAGGUAAAAAACAAGCAGCUUGUUAUUCUAAAGAAGGAAAGCUCCCAACAGUCAGAAUUGUUGGAGCAAGAGAUUACAGAUCUGAAAAGCCAACGAGAACAUCUGAAUGACUCUCUCAGAAAGACCGAAGACCAAGUUCAGACUCAGAAAGUUAUGCUUACAAAGCAAGAGCAGCAAAGUGCUCAUCAGACGGAGGCCCUGCAGCAACAACUGUCUGCUUCUGAAGAGAGGGUAAGGAGCAUGAACGAGGAGAUCCAGACUAGAGAGGAACAGAUGAUCAUGUUGAAAAAUCAAAGUUCACAGCAGUCAGAACUACUACAUGAAGAGAUACAAGAGUUAAAGAAACAAGUUGUGUGUCUUAGUUCAUCACUGAAGAAUGCAGAGAGCAAUUUGCAAUCAAAGGACGAGCUGUUUGCUGAACAUCAACUACAGAGCACUCGGGAUAUGGAGUCACUCCAGACACAGAUGGUAUCAUCUCAAGAUGUGGUGACGAUGCUGAAUACGGAGAUUCAUGCUAAGGAGGAGCAAUUAAUUCUGCUCAAGACUGAGACCUCUUCUCAUUCUGAAAUGCUACAGCAAGAGAUUGAAAGUCUGAAUAAACAAAUAGAAUGUGUGAAUGAUUCUCUUGAGAUCGCUAAGAACCAGGCUCAAGCCAAAGAAGAUUUGAUGGCCAAGCAGGAGCAGGAAAGCACUUUGAAGAUUGAGACACUUGAAAAGCACAGCGCCGCUCUUGAGGAGGAGGUCAAUCGUCUGAGGGAGGAAAUCCAAACUAAAGAGGGCGAGGUAGACCUGUGGAAGGUUGAGAGCUCCAAGGAGUCACACGUGCUGCACAAUGAAAUCCAAACUCUUAAGGACCAAGUCCAAAGUUUGAAUGAAUCCUUGAAGACUACAAUAGAGCAGGUUCAGACUAAAGAAAACCUGCUGACUCAGAAGGAAAUGGAGAUUUCUCAGGAAAAAGAUGCAUUUGGAAUCAUGAUCACAACCUCUGAAGAGGAGGUGAGAGGGCUAAGGGAGCAGAUCAAUACUAAAGAGGAACAACUGGCCACACUAGAAAGAGAAGGCUCCACACAUUCUGACAUGCUACAGCAAGAACUCAAAUAUCUAAAAACACAACUCUCUAAUAUGGGUGACUCUCUCACCAAACAAGAGCAGGAGAGUACUCAUCAGAAGGAGCUUCUGCAGCAGCAACUGUCAUCUUCUGAGGAAGAAGUGAGGAAGAUGAAAGAGGAGAUCCAAGCUAAAGAGGAACAGAUGAGACUGCUGAAGACUGACAGCUCAGGACAGUCAGAUGUGCUGAAUCAAGAGAUACAAGAGUUAAAGAAACAAGUUGAGCGUCUUAGUUCAUCACUGAAGAAUGCAGAGAACAAUUUGCAAUCCAAGGACGAGCUGUUUGCUGAACAUCAACUACAGAGCACUCGGGAUAUGGAGUCACUCCAGACACAGAUGGUAUCAUCUCAAGAUGUGGUGACAAUGCUGAAUACAGAGAUUCAUGCUAAGGAAGAGCAAUUAAUUCUGCUCAAGACUGAGACCUCUUCUCAUUCUGAAAUGCUACAGCAAGAGAUUGAAAGUCUGAAUAAACAAAUAGAAUGUGUGAAUGAUUCUCUUGAGAUCGCUAAGGACCAGGCUCAAGCCAAAGAAGAUUUGAUGGCCAAGCAGGAGCAGGAAAGCACUUUGAAGAUUGAGACACUUGAAAAGCACAGCGCCGCUCUUGAGGAGGAGGUCAAUCGUCUGAGGGAGGAAAUCCAAACUAAAGAGGGCGAGGUAGACCUGUGGAAGGUUGAGAGCUCCAAGGAGUCACACGUGCUGCACAAUGAAAUCCAAACUCUUAAGGACCAAGUCCAAAGUUUGAAUGAAUCCUUGAAGACUACAAUAGAGCAGGUUCAGACUAAAGAAAACCUGCUGACUCAGAAGGAAAUGGAGAUUUCUCAGGAAAAAGAUGCAUUUGGAAUCAUGAUCACAACCUCUGAAGAGGAGGUGAGAGGGCUAAGGGAGCAGAUCAAUACUAAAGAGGAACAACUGGCCACACUAGAAAGAGAAGGCUCCACACAUUCUGACAUGCUACAGCAAGAACUCAAAUAUCUAAAAACACAACUCUCUAAUAUGGGUGACUCUCUCACCAAACAAGAGCAGGAGAGUACUCAUCAGAAGGAGCUUCUGCAGCAGCAACUGUCAUCUUCUGAGGAAGAAGUGAGGAAGAUGAAAGAGGAGAUCCAAGCUAAAGAGGAACAGAUGAGACUGCUGAAGACUGACAGCUCAGGACAGUCAGAUGUGCUGAAUCAAGAGAUACAAGAGUUAAAGAAACAAGUUGAGCGUCUUAGUUCAUCACUGAAGAAUGCAGAGAACAAUUUGCAAUCCAAGGACGAGCUGUUUGCUGAACAUCAACUACAGAGCACUCGGGAUAUGGAGUCACUCCAGACACAGAUGGUAUCAUCUCAAGAUGUGGUGACAAUGCUGAAUACAGAGAUUCAUGCUAAGGAAGAGCAAUUAAUUCUGCUCAAGACUGAGACCUCUUCUCAUUCUGAAAUGCUACAGCAAGAGAUUGAAAGUCUGAAUAAACAAAUAGAAUGUGUGAAUGAUUCUCUUGAGAUCGCUAAGGACCAGGCUCAAGCCAAAGAAGAUUUGAUGGCCAAGCAGGAGCAGGAAAGCACUUUGAAGAUUGAGACACUUGAAAAGCACAGCGCCGCUCUUGAGGAGGAGGUCAAUCGUCUGAGGGAGGAAAUCCAAACUAAAGAGGGCGAGGUAGACCUGUGGAAGGUUGAGAGCUCCAAGGAGUCACACGUGCUGCACAAUGAAAUCCAAACUCUUAAGGACCAAGUCCAAAGUUUGAAUGAAUCCUUGAAGACUACAAUAGAGCAGGUUCAGACUAAAGAAAACCUGCUGACUCAGAAGGAAAUGGAGAUUUCUCAGGAAAAAGAUGCAUUUGGAAUCAUGAUCACAACCUCUGAAGAGGAGGUGAGAGGGCUAAGGGAGCAGAUCAAUACUAAAGAGGAACAACUGGCCACACUAGAAAGAGAAGGCUCCACACAUUCUGACAUGCUACAGCAAGAACUCAAAUAUCUAAAAACACAACUCUCUAAUAUGGGUGACUCCCUGACAAAGGCUGAGGAGAAGGUUCAAGCUCAGCUUGUCAUGCUCAUCAAACAAGAGCAGGAGAGUACUCAUCAGAAGGAGCUUCUGCAGCAGCAACUGUCAUCUUCUGAGGAAGAAGUGAGGAAGAAGAAAGAGGAGAUCCAAGCUAAAGAGGAACAGAUGAGACUGCUGAAGACUGACAGCUCAGGACAGUCAGAUGUGCUGAAUCAAGAGAUACAAGAGUUAAAGAAACAAGUUGAGCGUCUUAGUUCAUCACUGAAGAAUGCAGAGAACAAUUUGCAAUCCAAGGACGAGCUGUUUGCUGAACAUCAACUACAGAGCACUCGGGAUAUGGAGUCACUCCAGACACAGAUGGUAUCAUCUCAAGAUGUGGUGACGAUGCUGAAUACAGAGAUUCAUGCUAAGGAGGAGCAAUUAAUUCUGCUCAAGACUGAGACCUCUUCUCAUUCUGAAAUGCUACAGCAAGAGAUUGAAAGUCUGAAUAAACAAAUAGAAUGUGUGAAUGAUUCUCUUGAGAUCGCUAAGGACCAGGCUCAAGCCAAAGAAGAUUUGAUGGCCAAGCAGGAGCAGGAAAGCACUUUGAAGAUUGAGACCGUUGGAAGGCACAGCGCCGCUCUUGAGGAGGAGGUCAAUCGUCUGAGGGAGGAAAUCCAAACUAAAGAGGGCGAGGUAGACCUGUGGAAGGUUGAGAGCUCCAAGGAGUCACACGUGCUGCACAAUGAAAUCCAAACUCUUAAGGACCAAGUCCAAAGUUUGAAUGAAUCCUUGAAGACUACAAUAGAGCAGGUGGAAAUCUUCAAAAUUGAAAAAGGAAAAGAGGAACUCUUGAAAGCGAAAGAAAACGCAGAGGAAAUUGAGACUCUGAAGCGAGACCUGCAGGAACAGCUCUCCACUAAAUCGGUGGCUACGGAACACUACAAGGCACAGAUGGAGAAGGCACGGAGUCAUUACAACGGAAAGAAACAGCUUCUCCAGGAAAGCCAUGGGGAGGUGCUUGAACUCAAGCAUUCCUUGGAGGUUAAAGAGCAAGAAGUAAAGGCUACUACCAUGCAAAACCAGCUGCUUCAACUGGAUUUGGACAAGGCCCAAACCAAUGAGAAGGCACUUUUGGACAGAGUGGCUAGUUUGGAGGCACAGCUGGCUUUUGCUGACCGUAACCUGCGGCAACAGAAUAAGAUUCAUGGUUACGAAAGAAGUGCAGCAGGGUCGUGUUACUUGGAGGUUCCCUUUGGACUCUCGGGUGUUGAAACUAGAGCACAGGUGAAGAGAACCGUGAGCUCUGACAGCCAGGACCAGAGCUCUCUGGAAGACUCUCUGAACAACACAAGGAAACUUUCAGCGCCUCAUGAAUCAAGCACACCGCUUGUUCGCAGUUCAGAGCGCUUGGCAGCCAAACGUCGAGGUCUAGAGGCCGAGUCACUGGAAUCCCUGUAUUUUACCCCUAUAAACACCAGACAUAUCAACAGGACCAGUACAGGUACAGGGCAAAGAAUGGAGCUGGAUUCAACCUGUAGAAAUCCAACGUCCUCUGUAAAACGACGCAGGACCACGCAGGUUAUUAACAUCACCAUGACCAAGAAAACCCCAGGCAGCGGUGAAGAUGAUGAGACUUUCUACAGUCUGGCCUCAGCUCGCUCCCAACCUAACCUCGCCAGUGCCCACUCUGCACGACCCGUGCCUUUGGUGUCGUUAGACACACCAGCCAGAAUGACCAGCGCUGCCAGCGACCAGCUCAUCAGUCUUCCAGGUUACAGACGCAGCACAAUCCAUUCACAGACCGCUAGUACGUUCUGUGCGGGGGUAGAGAACGAGCCCGAAGGGGCACCUGACGAUUGGAGGAGGAUUGCUGAACUCCAGGCCAGGAACAAGGCCUGCCUUCCUCAUCUAAAGAGCAGCUACCCUGUGGAGUCUGAUACUGGCCGUGGCAGUACUUUCCUUUUCACAGACGAAGAGCUCCGUACGGGUGAACCAUCAGACACAUUCCGUCGGGCGUCCACGAUGCCUGGCCAGCUGCAAGACUCUCUAGCCUCCCAUCGGCACUCCUUCAUGGUGGGACACUCAGGUGCCGCUGCCAGUACUCGUUCACACCGUCUGUCCUUGAUGCCAGGCCAGCUGCCGUCAAAAACUGUCGGCUCCUCUCAGCUGAAAGGCACAAAGCGCGCUUCAUCGACGUGGUCGGUAAAUCAAACUUCACCUGAGAAAAAGGUGAAGGCCAGCUGCUUCCCACGUCCACUCACUCCUAAAAAUAAGAUCAGUGAACCAUCAAGCUCUCAGCUUUACCCUGCCCUCAGUCCAGCUGAUCAGAGGCAGUCUAUGGUUUUCAGUAUUGACAACACACCUAAAAACAGCAACUACCUGAAGAAAGGGCUAAAAAAACUGCGCAGCUCCACCAGGAAAUCCCCAGGCAAAAGUUUAAAGAAGUCGCCCACUCCGACAUCUUCACGCAACUGCAAGGAAAACAUCCACGCUGGAGUGGUGCGAGGAGGCAGGAUUGGCAGCUCCAAGUCACCCCAGGUGGCAUCUAAAGCACAGAGAGCCACCAGCAGGUCUGCAAUGUCUCCUCUGACGGCUAGUGCUCGCAAGGUAAAAACACACAUGGGCAAAACCAUUAGACUUUUACAGGACACACUUAGAUGAUAAUUUUUAAGGUGGAAUUGUUUCUGUCUGCAUUUAAUUUCCGGAAUGCCGCUUGUUGUGUAGUGGCAGAGGUGGGAAAUCGGUUUAAAUAGGAGGCAGAAUGACAUAGAAUCUCAUCAGCUCAUAAUCAAUGAUUUGUUAAAAUUUAUAUUUUACUGUCUGAUUGUUACUUUACAGUAACAGUACCAACCCUUUUGUCCGCACAUAUACAAGUGUACCUAAUAAACUGGUAACUUUGCAUUAAUUAAUUUGCAACAAAUUACUGGCGGUGGAUUAUAUUUGGCUGUCCCUCAUUCGUGAUCUAACUAAUGAAACAAAACUACAUCAUUGUGAAAGAGAACUUUCCUGAAAUGUGUUCGUUCUUUACAUCUCAGUAACUGUUUUCAGAAGCAUGCGUCUGUCAAGGAAGAAAAUCUUGCUGGACGUCUAAAAAGAUGAUGAGCAGGUUGAAGGUGUGAGGACAGGUUCCCGAAUUGGAUUCAUAAUUGUCUACAGUUCUACUUGAUUAUACUUCUUUUUCUUUUUUUUACUGCCUCAUUUUUGUUGUUGACUUUCAGGGCUUUUUAUAAUCUUGUUUUAAUCUACUUUUAUUUCUUUUGUAUUAUAUUUACAUGUUUGUCAAUAAAAGGAUUUUGUCCAUUGAA